UACGUAGGGUGCAAGCGUUAAUCGGAAUUACUGGGCGUAAAGCGUGCGCAGGCGGCUUUGCAAGACAGAUGUGAAAUCCCCGGGCUCAACCUGGGAACUGCGCUUCUAACUGGCAGGCUAGAGUGUGGCAGAGGGGGGUGGAAUUCCACGUGUAGCAGUGAAAUGCGUAGAGAUGUGGAGGAACACCGAUGGCGAAGGCAGCCCCCUGGGCUAACACUGACGCUCAUGCACGAAAGCGUGGGGAGCAAACAGG
rnacentral:rRNA from 1 species